GGCUUAGCAGCUCGUCAUCUUCAGCAAUUGCCCCCAUUGCCUUCCGUGCCGAGCUUGCCACCAAUGCCAGCCAUUCCAACUCUCCCACAGCCUACUGUGCCACUCAACCUUCUCUUCCUAAGCCUACUCUGCCUCCACUUCCUAGUUUGCCCAGCAUCCCUACUAUCCCAAAGGUCAGCUUGCCUUCAUUGCCAAGCAUUCCCUCCAUUCCCACAAUCCCAACUACAAUUCCU
rnacentral:misc_RNA from 1 species